rnacentral:rRNA from 1 species
UACGUAGGGUGCAAGCGUUUAAUCGGAAUACUGGGCGUAAAGCGUGCGCAGGCGGCGGCUCAAGUCAGGUGUGAAAUCCCCGGGCUUAACCUGGGAAUUGCGCUUGAAACUAGGUCGCUAGAGUGUGGCAGAGGGGGGUGGAAUUCCGACGUGUAGCAGUGAAAUGCGUAGAGAUGUGGAGGAACACCGAUGGCGAAGGCAGCCCCCUGGGUCAACACUGACGCUCAUGCACGAAAGCGUGGGGAGCAAACAGG